rnacentral:antisense_RNA from 1 species
AAAUGGAUGUCACUACACAGUUCCCCCCUGACAUCUGUGAUAGUGUAUGUUAUCACUGAGAUGUUCUCAUUUAAACUAUGUUAUAAGGGCAAGGGGAAAGAAGUAAGAAAAAUUUGCUAUCAUGUAGAAAAUUCUGGGGAACCUCAAAUAACUCACUUGAUAUUUAGCAGGAGUUUAUGCUAUCAUCUGUCCCUACAAUAGACAUUUUAUCAUGGUAAGGGUGUGGUCAGCAAUAGAAAACUAUGAUCUCAGCAGAAGUCCCUCUACCACCCCAUAGCUUAGUAAUUUUCUUACCAACAGCUAGCUGAGGUAGUGUGCAUCCCAGACGCUCAGCAAUUGGGGAAAGGUCUUUUAGCUUGUUUUGUUGUUUUCUCCCUUCUUCACUUACAAUUCUCUCUUUCAACCACUGGUAGCACUGGAGAAAAGCAUAACAUUGAAAUGUUAAUGUCUGGUAAAGAUCUGAUGUCAAAGAAUGGUAAUUCAAUAAAAUAUGUGAACCUCA